rnacentral:rRNA from 1 species
ACUGCGUGAGCGGACGAAAACAACAACACCUAAAAUGUGGAAUAUAGCAUAUAGUCGACAAGAGAAAUCUACGAAAAACAAACAAAACUUUCAACAACGGAUCUCUUGGUUCUCGCAUCGAUGAAGAGCGCAGCGAAAUGCGAUACCUAGUGUGAAUUGCAGCCAUCGUGAAUCAUCGAGUUCUUGAACGCACAUUGCGCCCCUCGGCAUUCCGGGGGGCAUGCCUGUUUGAGCGUCGUUUCCAUCUUGCGCGUGCGCAGAGUUGGGGGAGCGGAGCGGACGACGUGUAAAGAGCGUCGGAGCUGCGACUCGCCUGAAAGGGAGCGAAGCUGGCCGAGCGAACUAGACUUUUUUUCAGGGACGCUUGGCGGCCGAGAGCGAGUGUUGCGAGACAACAAAAAGCUCGACCUCAAAUCAGGUAGGAAUACCCGCUGAACUUAAGCAUAUCAAUAAGCGGAGGAA